rnacentral:rRNA from 1 species
GAUGAACGCUGGCGGCGUGCCUAAUACAUGCAAGUCGAGCGAACAGACGAGGAGCUUGCUCCUCUGACGUUAGCGGCGGACGGGUGAGUAACACGUGGAUAACCUACCUAUAAGACUGGGAUAACUUCGGGAAACCGGAGCUAAUACCGGAUAAUAUAUUGAACCGCAUGGUUCAAUAGUGAAAGACGGUUUUGCUGUCACUUAUAGAUGGAUCCGCGCCGCAUUAGCUAGUUGGUAAGGUAACGGCUUACCAAGGCAACGAUGCGUAGCCGACCUGAGAGGGUGAUCGGCCACACUGGAACUGAGACACGGUCCAGACUCCUACGGGAGGCAGCAGUAGGGAAUCUUCCGCAAUGGGCGAAAGCAUGACGGAGCAACGCCGCGUGAGUGAUGAAGGUCUUAGGAUCGUAAAACUCUGUUAUUAGGGAAGAACAAAUGUGUAAGUAACUAUGCACGUCUUGACGGUACCUAAUCAGAAAGCCACGGCUAACUACGUG